rnacentral:sRNA from 1 species
GGCCGGAAACCCCUUCGCAUGGCAGCCGGUUCCGGUUCGGACUUUGUAUCUUUGCUAAAGUCAGUGAUGUGAAAAGACUUGAAAUGGAUGAUAUUGCUGAUAGGAUGAGGAUGGAUGCUGGAGAAGUGACUUUAGUGAACCACAACUCCGUAUUCAAAACCCACCUCCUGCCACAAACAGGUUUUCCAGAGGACCAGCUUUCGCUUUCUGACCAGCAGGUUAGGAGCAAUUUUCUUCCUUUAAUUAAUUAAUUAUUUGGGCUCAUCAUAAGUUUUCAUCUUAUGUAGUUUAAAUGCCACACUCAAAAAUACAAGCAUAGCUAUAAACUUUUUAGAAUCAGUAAUUUUAGUGUUUGGAAUUCUGCUCUAUAUAUUAAAAUUAAGACAAGGACGUUAAGACAAAAUAGGCUAUGUAUGAGUUCUUUGAGAACAGUACCUUUUGGAAAACUCAUUGUUCCUCUGAAUUUUAAACUUAAC